CCUACGGGAGGCAGCAGUGGGGAAUAUUGCACAAUGGGGGAAACCCUGAUGCAGCGACGCCGCGUGAGUGAAGAAGUAAUUCGUUACGUAAAGCUCUAUCAGCAGGGAAGAAAAUGACGGUACCUGAGUAAGAAGCCCCGGCUAACUACGUGCCAGCCGCCGCGGUAAUACGUAGGGGGCAAGCGUUAUCCGGAUUUACUGGGUGUAAAGGGAGCGUAGACGGUGCGCCAGGUCUGGGGUGAAAUGCCGCAGCUUAACUGCGGAACUGCUUUGGAAACUGGCGAACUGGGGGGCGGGAGGGGAAAGCGGAAUUCGUAGUGUAGGGGAAAAAGGCG
rnacentral:rRNA from 1 species